CAAGAAGUCCUGCGCAGGCCCAAGGCCACUUUUGGGGUCACCAGGUGACCCAUAGGAAGCCUUCUGUGACAGAGACGUCUGCUCGGAAGUCUCUCCAUCCACUUAAGGCUCCAGGAGCCGCCGGUCUCUAGUGAUUCCAAAGGACGCUUUGGAGUCAGCCAGAGCCCGGUUUCCAUUAGCCAAAGAAAGGCAAUGGGUAAUCCCCAGUCCAAAAUUCCGCGAGACACCCCUUUAGGGUGUUUAUUAGGCAACCUAAAAAACCUACAAUUAGAGCGGGAUCUAAAGUGAAAGCGACUAAUUUUCCUCUCCACUGUGGCGUGGCCGCAAUGUAAACUAGACAAUCAGUCCCAAUGGCCGCCUGAAGGCACCCUAGAUCGUAAUAUUUUAAUCGACCUCGGCAAUUUUUGCCGGCGCCUAGGCAAGUGGUCUGAAAUGAAUUAUAUACAAGGAUUUUGGGAUUUACGCUCUCGACCAGACUUAUGUAGUCAGUGCUCCUUGGCCCAAGUUAUGUUGGCCAGGGCUGGGGUCCCCGUGGGGUGGGACAAAGAGGAGUCAUCCUUCCUGUCCGACCUGCCCGAGGAUCUCAGAAACUCCCAUUUCAGACCUCCAGCAGCCGCCUCCCCUCCUCUUCCACCCUAUACUCCGCCCCCUUCCACUUCCACCUCUACCUUGGCUCCACCUGCCGCCCCUUUCCCCGCCCCCUCGGCACCUCCCUCUCGCCACCUUGAUUCACCCAUAUCCUCUCAUACCCGUUCCAAAAAUUGUUCAGGGCCUGCUCCUUCCCCCACUCCUACCCCUCAACCCCCUACGGUCCUGCCCCCGCUACUCGAGGUGGCCGGUGCAGAAGGUGUAGUCAGGGUCCAUGUCCCUUUCUCACUAGCAGAUCUUUCCAAGAUUGAAAAACGCUUAGGAGACUUCUCUGCCAACCCUACGGUUUAUACCGAAGAAUUCAGGACCCUGGGAGCUCCUUCCAGCUCUUACACCUAGACGACGACUGAAAGCGCCUGGACUCGGGGACCCCCAUCACCCUCGCUCGAGCCUCGGGUAACUUCAGGUAGCGGGAUCCAAGAAAUCACCCGAGUCACCUUCAAUCAAAUGCUCCUGCAUCCCUACACCCAACUGCCAACCUCAGACCCUAACUACGCCCCUUAACAGCAGGAAGCAGCCAGCCAGACCACGGCGCCCCAGAUUGUUAUAAUCAAUAAGAGGUUGGACUGUCUGGGUGAAGGGGAAAAGGACAAGAUGGAGGAAGGAGAAUAGAAAAGAUGCAGCCCCUACUACUUCCAGGUUCUUCAUCCAACUUACCCGCAUGUGGGAAAAUGCAGCCCGCGCCAGGAAAAAAGCAGACCAAUGGAGCAGGCGUGAGGUGAGGACAAUUUGAGGAAACAGAAACUUACUAUGGAGACGUCCCUGGCACGCCCUUAUCCCACCCACUGCCCUCCCAUUUCCAAGCCGAGGACAUAAAAGUCGAGGCCGGCAGGCACCGGUGCGAACUUCCCCGGCCCCAUUGCUUGUGGACCGAGGAACCUCACCGGAGAGCGCCGGCUCGACUUCUCUGGCCCCACUUAGAGGACCGGUGAACCUCGCCCAAGAGCCCUGACCUGUUGGUCAAUAAAGUUCUUUCUUUUCUACCA